AUAUCAUUCGAUCCGAUUCGAGAAUGGGUCACCGCAAAGGCUUCGGUGGUGGAGGACGCAAAUCAUAUUCAACUGGGACUAAAUUUCGAUCUUCACCAUUGUUUCAUAAGAAAUCUAAGCCUGCCAAAGAUGAAAAAGAUGAAAAAGCGCCUCCUCCUGCUAAAGUUGUGACGCUUCCUGUUGAAUCUAGGCGUGAAAGUUUUUUUCAUCCAUAGCUGAUGGGUUUCAUUGGGGAGCUGGAAAUGCGAUGGGACACAGAUUCGUUGAAGCCAUUUUUGGUCCUAGAACCAUCAAAACAGAAGUUGUUUUACCAGAGAAAGUUGAAGUAGCUGCUGUCUCUGCCAUUGAUGAUAACGAUAAAUUCAAGGAUUACACUGAAUCAUGUAGCAUAAGCUAUAAAGCAUUUGAAGAAUGCUUGAAUGCGGAAGGAAAUAAACUAAGCAAAUGUCACAUCUUCAUGGAUUCGCUGUUCGAGUGCAGGAAGAAUUCUAGUUCCUUCAACUUCUACGUUCUUGGAAUUUUAUAGUUUUUCCUUUUUCUGGUUUGUGUGACCCAAUAAAUCAAGAUUUUAAAACUCUUGUGGUAGUUUUCUUUGUUGAUUUAACCACCAAGUCUAAGAAUUAUCGUAUGUCUUGGAUAAAAUAAAGUCAUUUAGCUUUGUGUUUGGCUAGAACUGAAGACCAUUGUGUUUGGUUUCAUUAUUUA